GGUGACGUAAGUAACCCAGAAGUCACCACAUUUGCUCCUUUCUUGAGUGGCAAAUAUUAAAAAUUCAACAUCUGCCAGGUGCACUCUCAGGAAAAACAUUGAAAACAGCUAAAAUGUUAAGGAGCUGCUGUUCCAUCGGUCCACAGACAGAUUUAAAAAGAAUUUAGGCAUAAGGUUUGAUCGACUGCCGAAGCAAAUGGAUCACCCCAACUUAGUGGGACAAUUCUGUCUUCCCAUUACAGGAACUUGUCAGUGGAGCAGGGCUGAAGAGGAGAGACACUGAAAGCGAGGAGCUUCUGACACGUCGACAUUGUGGCGAGGAAUGCAGAAAAACCAGCCCACCUCCACCCCACGUCCCACUCCUCCCAUGCCUCCCACCUGGCCCCUCUCAGUGUGUCCUCAGGAGCUUUGCAUCCAGGCUUGGCUACAGAGCCUGGAUGUCUUGGCUGAUGGAUAUGAAGCAGAGGUGUCCGUGAUGAUGGAGAGAUUUAGGAAAACUAGAAAGCAUUCCGGCUUUUAACACACACAGCACCCACCCACCCCCACCCCCCACCUGUCGUACAACUCUCUCUCUUCCUGUCUCACUGUCUCUGUGUCUGUCUGUUCUCAGUCUGCGUAGAGGAUGAAGCCAGAGAAGGUGCUGUACUUGUUGUUGUUUCCUCCAUGGGCUUUGCCUCCAUCCAGUUUGAUGUAAACCUCGUCCCCUGCAUCCAGAUGGAGGAUGACGCUGUUAGAGGCAUAGUCAUAGUUCUGGUCAGCGUCUUGGGCAAUGGCGCUGGCACGAACCUGGAAGAAAAGGGACAGACGAACAUGUAGGAGAAAGAGUAGGUUUGUAGCUACAGUACAUGUUAGGACCUUAACUUAAUUAAUUUUGGAAAUUACCCAAAUAGGUUGUCAUUCUCUCAUAUUACAUCGGUAGACAGAUAAUUGUAUUAACUCUCAUCAAUCUACAUUCCUGUAAAUCAGAACUAAGUAUAUAAAAUCUGUACCUCCA